GUUUGAUCAUGGCUCAGAUUGAACGCUGGCGGGAUGCUUUACACAUGCAAGUCGAACGGCAGCACGGACUUCAGUCUGGUGGCGAGUGACGAACGGGUGAGUAAUGUAUCGGAACGUGCCUAAUGCUUGAGGAUAACUACGCAGCGUGCUAAUACCACCAUACGCCCUUCAUCAAGGGAAAGCAAGGGGACCUUCGGGCCUCACCACUAUUGAUAAGCCGAUAUCGGAUUAGCUAGUUGGUGGGGUAACUUGGCUCACCAAGGCGACGAUCCGUAGCUGGUUUAGAGGACGACCAUGCCUGGGACUGAGACCACGGCCCAGACUCCUACGGGAGAACAGCAGUGGGGAAUUUUGGACAAUGGAAACCACAAGUCCAGCCAUCCCGCACGAAAUGCGAUGAAGGCCUUCGGGUUGUAAAGCACUUUUGGCGAAGAAACGGCACGGGAUAAUACCCCGUGCAACUGACGGUACUGCUGCAGAAUAAGCACCGGCUAACUACGUGCCAGCAGCGCGGUAAUACGUAGGGUGCAAGCGUUAAUCGAGAUUACUGGGCGUAAAGCGUGCGCAGGCGGUUCGGAAAGAAAGAUGUGAAAUCCCAGAGCUUAACUUUGGAACUGCAUUU
rnacentral:misc_RNA from 1 species